UAAAAAACGUUGAAAAAGUGUUACUUUGCCAACGUUAAUAAAACGUUGUUUUGACAAUGUUGAGGAAGUGGCACAUUGAAAAUUAUUGUCUCAAUAACUAGCCAUUACAAUAAUAAUUUGCCGUAAUGGAAAGGCAAGGAAAACUUGAUAGAAUGCAUGCAUAUGAAAAAGAAGUAUAUGCAGGAUUUAAUUUCACGACUAAAGAGGACUCCGAAGAAGAAUUAAAGUUCUGGUGGAUCAAAGAUCGAGGAAUGACUUGGUUUUAACUGGUUUGCAUCUUAUGAACGAAGUACAUAAUAUGAUUUAAAUUGAUGAUUUAUAGUUACACCUAUUGAAAUUCUGUAUCUCAAUGAUAUCCUGGCUUAUCGAUACGAUAUCC